AUUGAACGCUGGCGGCAUGCCUUACACAUGCAAGUCGAACGGCAGCACGGGAGCAAUCCUGGUGGCGAGUGGCGAACGGGUGGGUAAAGUAUCGGAACGUGCCCAGUCGUGGGGGAUAACGUAGCGAAAGUUACGCUAAUACCGCAUACGAUCUAUGGAUGAAAGCGGGGGAUCGCAAGACCUCGCGCGAUUGGAGCGGCCGAUAUCAGAUUAGGUAGUUGGUGGGGUAAAGGCUCACCAAGCCGACGAUCUGUAGCUGGUCUGAGAGGACGACCAGCCACACUGGGACUGAGACACGGCCCAGACUCCUACGGGAGGCAGCAGUGGGGAAUUUUGGACAAUGGGCGAAAGCCUGAUCCAGCCAUGCCGCGUGCAGGAUGAAGGCCUUCGGGUUGUAAACUGCUUUUGUACGGAACGAAAAGGUUUGGCCUAAUAAGCUGAGCUCAUGACGGUACCGUAAGGAUAAGCACCGGCUAACUACGUGCCAGCCGCCGCUGUAA
rnacentral:rRNA from 1 species